UCCUAGGGCUGUAAAACUCAACUUCACUAGGGCCAGACUGGAAAAUGAGAAGCACAUCAAGAACCAGACAUGUAUAGUUUAUUAACAUGCUUUCAUUUAAGAAAAAGUGAAACAUCUCUG